UACGUAGGGGGCAAGCGUUGUCCGGAAUCAUUGGGCGUAAAGAGCGUGUAGGCGGUCCGGUAAGUCCGCUGUGAAAGUCGGGGGCUCAACCCUCGAAUGCCGGUGGAUACUGUCGGGCUAGAGUACGGAAGAGGCGAGUGGAAUUCCUGGUGUAGCGGUGAAAUGCGCAGAUAUCAGGAGGAACACCUAUUGCGAAGGCAGCUCGCUGGGACGUAACUGACGCUGAGACGCGAAAGCGUGGGGAGCGAACGGG
rnacentral:rRNA from 1 species